AUUGAACGCUAGCGGGAUGCCUUACACAUGCAAGUCGAACGGAGUGGCGAACGGGUGAGUAAUGUAUCGGAACGUGCCCAGUAGCGGGGGAUAACUACGCGAAAGCGUAGCUAAUCCCGCAUACUAUUGGAGCGGCCGAUAUCGGCUUAGCUAGUUGGUGGUGUAAAGGCUCACCAAGGCGACAGUCCGUAGCUGGUUUGAGAUGACGACCAGCCACACUGGGACUGAGACACGGCCCAGACUCCUACGGGAGGCAGCAGUGGGGAUGUUUGGAAAAUGGGGGAAACCCUGAUCCAGCCAUCCCGCGUGUGCGAUGAAGGCCGUCGGGUUGUGAAGCACUUUUGGCAGGAAAGCGGUACCUGCAGACUAAGCCACGGCUAACUACGUGCCAGCAGCCGCGGUAAUUC
rnacentral:rRNA from 1 species